UUUUUUUUUUUUUUGUCUUUUUAGGGCUGCACCUGAGGCAUAUGGAGGUUCCCCAGGCUGGGGGUCGAAUCAGAGCUACAGCUGCCAGCCUACACCACAGCCACAGCAACUCGGGAUCCAAGACACGUGUGCAACCUACAUCACAGCUCACGGCAACACCGGAUCCUUAACCCACUGAGUGAGGCCAGGGAUUGAUCCCACAGCCUCAUGGUUACUCAUUGGAUUUGUUUCCACUGGGCCACAGUGGGAACUCUGAGAUAUGUGUGAUGUGCUGAGUGUCUGACAUGCUCUCACUCUCUUAAUCCACAAAAAUCCAUGUGAAACGGGUGCCCUCCUUCUUGCAAAGGCACACAUGAGAAAACCGGAGGCACCCAGAGGUAAAAGCAGCCUCCUCUGGUUCUCCAGCUAACAAAGGGUAGAUGCAGGGCUGAAACCCAGCAGGGUAUCUCUGGGGCCUUUUCUCCACAGGGAAGGUCUUCCUGGUAUGAGUUGGGCAUAAAGGACCCCCCUCCACCCCCUUUGUCUGCCAGGCUGCUCCCAGCCUCUUUCCCUAACCCUGUCUCCCUUCUUUUCUAACCUACUUACUGCAAGUUGUGAACAGGGCCAGUUGCCACUCCUUCCUCUUGCAACCACACCCAUGCCAAAGUUAAAGGGCCAUGAACAUUAGAGAAAUAAUCUCAAUUUUUCUCUCUCUCCAUCUCCCCCUCUCUCCAAUUUUCCCCUCUAGUCCUAGAUAGCUUUAGGGGGGAAAAAUGAGACUUGGAGUUCUUAUUUGCACAUCAACAUUCAGGAUGAUCUUUGAGCUCAGGUAUUGUAGUCCCAGCAUUUUGAGGGGUUUUUUUUGUUUGUUUGUUUUGUUUUGUCUAAAGUACAGUUGAUUGACAGUGUUAUGCCUAAAAAUGUCCAAGCAGUUUGAGUUUUGAGAAGCAGCUAAUCGCCAGAGUUGCCCUGUAAACUCUGAUGUUUUCCCCUUCGGGUUGCAAAGCUCUGCACUUUAACAUUUCCAGCCCUUAAAGAAGGGCUUUCAGCUGUGUCUAAUCUGCUACCAAGGCCGUUCAUUGAAUUUAUUAUAUUCAUUUUAAACAGAGUAAAUGAGUUAUUCUGGGCCAGAUAGUUUCAAUUAUCCGAAGCACUGGGGCAUUUGUUUCUGUCCUGUGUCAUUCCUGGUGAAUUUCACCUGUGAUGUCUUCUUUCCUUGAGUGUUUUGGGAACUUUGGCCGAUCUUUUGAGAGCGUUGUCUGUGCAGAAAAUUCUCACAGGCCUGAUUGGAAGUUGAGGUCCUCUGGAGAGAAUUAGCCCUCGCUCCUCAAAGUCACUGACCCUGGACCAUAUGAAAUUAAAAUUUCACCCUGCGUUUUCUAUCCCCGCCACCCUACACCCGGGUAGUGCGCAUUUAGGCUGCUGGUUUGUGGUUACCGGUUCUCCACGGGCAGAGCACGGGUGGGAGGCACUUAUUUCCCCCCCUUCAGCUCAAAGCCCCCUUCUGAAUAUCAGAGUUUCCUUCUCAUUCUUCCUUCCCUUAGGACCUUGACCCAGAGGCUUCCAGAUAAGUAGGGGGUCUGCUAUUAGACACCACCCCUCCCCAGCAGCCCUCUGCUUUAUCUUUUGUCCUCUAAACCUUUAUCAAAGCACAGAUUCUACAUCUCCGGGGUUUGAUCACACACCUGCAGGGCAUAAGUGUGAUUUGGUGGUAGCCUGUCUCCCAGGUCUCCCUUUUUCAUUUCCUUUGGGGUUCUGCCCAUCCCUUAAUUUAGUGCCUGCUCAGUACUGCAUUUAAAUGAAGGCAGUGUCUUUUUCAACAUUUGAUCUGGUUUUUUGGUUUGUGGGUCUUUCAGGAUAUCUUAUCAGUCACACCUCUGGAAACGGGGGCCCCAAAGCCUGUUCCAUUGAGCUUGAUUAUUUUCUGCCAGGUGCUAAGGAAGCCCAGGGUUUCAACUAGGGCUCUGAUUUCAUGAUGGCAUCAUUCUACAAGCUACCUACAAGUUACUAUUAGAAGUGAUCCUGGAGUUCCCAUUGUGGCUCAUCAGGUUGAGGACCCGACAUAGUCUCCGUAAGGAUGUAGGUUCGAUCCCUGACCUCUCUCAGUGGGGUAAGGAUCCGGUGUUGCCACAAGAUGUGGUGUAGGUCACAGAUGUGGCUCAGAUCUGGUGUCACAGUGGCUGUGGCAUGGGUGGCGAAUUCUGCUCGGAUUCAGCUCCUAGCCUGGGAACGUCCAUGUGCCACAGGUACAGCCAUGGAAAGAAAAAAAAAAUGUAAUUCUUUCUUGCCUAACCUCAGAACUUAAUUAGGCAGGCGACUGAGACUUACCUGGGGGCUCUUUGAAGGGACGGAAGCUUCAGGGAUACUGGAAGUUCCUCUUCAUUUUCAGUCAGCCCGAACAUUCUUCACUCUUUCCAUUGUCGGAACAGUGGGAAGCUUGGAAUGGGUUUUAUAAUGCAGUCAUUCUUCCAAAUGCAUAACCUGGCACCGGUCCAAGCACUUGUAACCAUCUCCGAAAUGAGCAGCAUGACUGCAGACUCUACUGUAACCCUCUGGCCAGUGGGAACAUGAUGUGUUGGUUUAUAGGGAAGGAGCAAGACCGUUAAAGUUUGUUCUAUCAUUUGUCUCUCCUCUCUCUCCCUCCUGCUCUUGAUUUCCUACGUCUUUCCACAGUAUAUUGUGUUUUUAUAAAAGUCACCAGUUUGGAAAUUCCAUUAGAGAAUACUAACAGCGUUCUCACAUCAAGCAGAAUAAACUAAUACAUCCCUGGUAACCAUUUUCCAGAAUUAGAAUUUUCUCUUUUAUAAGGCAUCUCUUUCUAAACAAUUAUUCUGUGAUUAUAAGCCUGGAAGGCAAUCAGAUU
ensembl:lncRNA